rnacentral:rRNA from 1 species
GAUGAACGCUGGCGGCGUGCCUAAUACAUGCAAGUCGAGCGAACAGACGAGGAUCUUUCUCCUCUGACGUUAACGGCGGACUGAUAAGUAACACCUGGAUAACCUACCGAUAAGACUGGGAUAACUUCGGGAAACCUAAGCUAAUACCGGAUAAUUUAUUAAACCGCAUGGUUCAAUAUUGAAAUACGGUUUUGCUAUCACUUAUAGAUUAAUCCGAGGCGCAUUAGCUAGUUGGUAAGGUAACGUAUUACCAAGGCGACGAUUCGUAGCAGCCCUGAGAUGGUGAUCAGCCACACUGAAAGUGAGACACGGUCCAGACUAAUAGGGGAGGCAGCAGUAGGGAAUCUUCCGGCAUGAGCGAAAGACUGACGGCGAAACGCCGAGUGAGUGAUGAAGGUCUUCGGAUCGUAAAACUAUGUUAUUAGGGCAGAAAAAAUGUGUAAGUAAGUAUGCCGGUAUUGACGGUACCUAAUCAGAAAGGCAGGGCUAACUACGUG